CCUACGGGUGGCAGCAGUGGGGAAUAUUGGGCAAUGGGCGCAAGCCUGACCCAGCAACGCCGCGUGAAGGAAGAAGGCUUUCGGGUUGUAAACUUCUUUUCUCAGGGACGAAGCAAGUGACGGUACCUGAGGAAUAAGCCACUGCUAACUACGUGCCAGCAGCCGCGGUAAUACGUAGGUGGCAAGCGUUAUCCGGAUUUACUGGGUGUAAAGGGCGUGUAGGCGGGAAAGCAAGUCAGAUGUGAAAACCAUGGGCUCAACCUGUGGCCUGCAUUUGAAACUGUUUUUCGUGAGUACUGGAGAGGCAGACGGAAUUCCUAGUGUAGCGGUGAGAUGCGUAGAGAUUAGGAGGAACACCAGAGGCGAAGGCGGUCUGCUGGACAGCAACUGACGCUGAGGCGCGAAAGCGUGGGGAGCAAACAGGAUUAGAUACACUGGUAGUC
rnacentral:rRNA from 1 species